UGCUUUUCAGUAUUUAUUCUCUGCACAAGAAUUGUUUACUUUUACAUUAACUCAUAAAAUUGUACAUAAAUUUCACCAAAAUUCUAGAUAAAAAGUAAAUGACCAGAUGAGCUUCCAGCUAAUCCAGGGGAGGGCUGUCCUGUGAGUCCAGGAGGAGAUGAGCAGGCCCGAGGAGAACUACAGGAAAAGAGAGGGUGGGCAUGAAGAAUUUGCUAACAGUUUGGCAACAUUUUCUUUCCAUUCAGGUCAUUUCCUAUUCAGAGGAAAAUUUUCACCGGUUCCCUGGAAAUGGACUGAAAUCACAUUCUCCCGGACAAAUUUUGCUGGUAGACUUCAUACCCAUGCAAAACUAAUGUAAGUUGGACAGAUAGCCAUCUCAGUGUCUCUGCAAGGCAGAUUUUCCAGGAACCACGUUUUGUACUGUAAAGAAAGCCAGAGCCAGGUAUCUUUUAAAGAUAUUUAGACUCCCCUGUAACAGCUUGUGGGGUGGGAGGGAGAGAAGGUUCUUAACUAAGGUAAGAUCCCCCACACUGUGUAACAGAGGCAUGCUUCAGGGGUUUCCCUCCAUCCGGUUGUCAGCGUGGGAUACUGAGCUUUAAAGUUGCACAUCUAAAUUGGUGCUGAAAAGCAGAUGUCGUCAGUACGUUUAAAUGAUGCAGCCCUGUUUUAGGAGCGAUGUCCUACAAUCCAUUGACUUUUUAUAAGAAUUAGGUUCAUAAAGCCCGGGGAACUGAUCCAGGAACUGAUUUUGGUGGAAUCUAACAGCAUUGCUACCAUCGUAGGCAAGUAACUUCAAAAUCUAGGCCCUCAUAUUAUGAGAGGGGACAGGAUGUGGCUUCACAUUUGUUAAUUCCACAAAAUCCCGCAGUAGCACUGUAGAAAAGGGGGAAAAUUAGGUAACAUUUUGUGCACUAUUUUAAAAAUAACGUAUUAAUACCAUACCUAUACAAAGGGAUCUGACUACAGGGGAUUUGAAAAAGUACUUCAAUAAGAAAUAACUGAAUAAUCCACAGCUAAAUAAGACCUAACUGAAUAAUCCACAUAUACGAGACAAAUAAACACUCCCACAUGCCUCCA
rnacentral:lncRNA from 1 species